GACGAACGCUGGCGGCGUGCUUAACACAUGCAAGUCGAACGAUGAAGCUGGAGCCUGCUCCGGUGGAUUAGUGGCGAACGGGUGAGUAACACGUGAGCAAUCUGCCCUUCACUCUGGGAUAACUGCGGGAAACUGUAGCUAAUACCGGAUACGAGACCUUGGGGCAUCCCAGGGUCUGGAAAGAAUUUCGGUGAAGGAUGAGCUCGCGGCCUAUCAGCUAGUUGGUGAGGUAAUGGCUCACCAAGGCGACGACGGGUAGCCGGCCUGAGAGGGUGACCGGCCACACUGGGACUGAGACACGGCCCAGACUCCUACGGGAGGCAGCAGUGGGGAAUAUUGCACAAUGGGCGAAAGCCUGAUGCAGCAACGCCGCGUGAGGGAUGAAGGCCUUCGGGUUGUAAACCUCUUUUAGUAGGGAAGAAGCGCAAGUGACGGUACCUACAGAAAAAGCACCGGCUGACUACGUGCCAGCCGCCGCAGUAA
rnacentral:rRNA from 1 species